rnacentral:rRNA from 1 species
CAGCGUUUGACAUGGCAGGACGACUUCCAGAGAUGGAUUUCUUCCCUUCGGGGACCUGCACACAGGUGCUGCAUGGCUGUCGUCAGCUCGUGUCGUGAGAUGUUGGGUUAAGUCCCGCAACGAGCGCAACCCUCGCCUUUAGUUGCCAUCAUUUAGUUGGGCACUUUAAAGGAACCGCCGGUGAUAAGCCGGAGGAAGGUGGGGAUGACGUCAAGUCCUCAUGGCCCUUACGCGCUGGGCUACACACGUGCUACAAUGGCGGUGACAGUGGGCAGCAAGCAUGCGAGUGUGAGCUAAUCUCCAAAAGCCGUCUCAGUUCGGAUUGUUCUCUGCAACUCGAGAGCAUGGAGGCGGAAUCGCUAGUAAUCGCGGAUCAGCAUGCCGCGGUGAAUA